GGGGGCGAAAGGGUUCGACAGAGCCGGUUCGACUCGAAGUUGCGAGCCGAGGCGCCGCUGGCCUCGUAAAAAGCGGCAAACAAGUAGUUGCGAAUAACAAUUACGCUUACGCUGCCUAAUUAACGCAGCGCGUCCGCCUCUUCCGUGUCGGUAGGAAGAGAUCCGGGUGUAACUAAAUCCGAAUCGCUGGCCGAGCUUCUGCUCGUAGCGGAGCCAGCUAAAUCAAUCGGGCUGGGUGUUCGACUAGCCUGCCCCGUGGCAGGUCGGCACUAAGAUUUAAAGCGGGGAGACGCUCGUGGUAAUCUCGAGGCCGACGGUUUUGGAAGCGAGUUCAAUUCUCGCCGCCUCCACCA
rnacentral:tmRNA from 1 species